rnacentral:snRNA from 1 species
GGAUGUGAGGGCGAUCUGGCUACAACACCUGUCACCCCUUUGAUCACCAGGGUUGAUACGGCGGAUGUGGCUGGCUAGGCAGACGUCCCCUUCCUCCCUCACCCCUCCAUGUGCGUCCUUCCCCAAUAUAGGAGGGAAGUUCUGUCAAAGUGGCUACGUUGUCGUCCACUUCCCUCCCCCCACCAACACCACCACUGCUAGAACCUCCAAAGGAGCUCUCAAGAAGCAGGGUGUUCUGAGGGAUAAGGAAGGGUGAUUAGAACUGACAUCAUCAGUGGUCUACAAAAA